rnacentral:sRNA from 1 species
GCAACCAGGAAGACCGAAAUGGCAGUUUCUCUUCUCAUCCUGGACAGGCACCGGGUGCCGGGAAAGGAAAGCAGAUGGGAAAGUUAGAAGAAUCCUCCCGUGCCUGCAGCCUUUCUUCUGGCCUCUAACCUAAAGAAAACAACCCUUGAGCCUAAGAAACUGGAGAAUCUUCACAUCUAUUGCCAUCAGGGAAGGCAUACCGGAGCUGGGAGUCUGUGUGACUUUUCUUAAAUUAAGUGAGUGUGAAAAGAAGAGGGUUAAGGUCCAGUUUGAAUCAAACACUUCCUAUGUGAGAGUCCUGUGGAUUUCAUGAUGGUGAGUGUGAGGCACAGCUUAAACAGAGAUGUAAAAGGCUGCAGGGAAAAGGGAAAAAUCGAGAACAAAAUGGAUUUCAAGGAGAUGCUGCUGGGUGCAGCUGUUACUGCAUUUUAAAGAGUCACUUACUUUAAUUGAGGGGGCAAUAGAAUAAUAAUACUGUGCAAUAAUGAUGUGCCUUUGUAUGAGACACUUGGAAACCUCCCCAUGCAUGAUGCAAUGUG